UAUGUUGGACAGAAGAAGAAGCUACAGAAGCCACCAAAACAAUAUGCUUUUGUCGGUAAGAAAGCAUGGAGACGAUUCGUUGCAGUUAGAGUCACAAAAGAUUGGCAGGAAGAGAAUAGAAAACAGAGUGAGAGAGUGGGAAAACGGAAAUAUCCACACCGAGUGUCAAGAAAAGGAUACAUCGGAUUGGAAGAAGAAGAAAUACGGUCAGGGAGGUUGGAGCCUGCUGAAAGGCCAGAUAGGGCAAUUAUGUGGAAAAAUGCCCGUAAGCCAAAUGAUGGGAAUAUU